AGAGUUUGAUCAUGGCUCAGAUUGAACGCUGGCGGCAGGCCUAACACAUGCAAGUCGAGCGGAAACGAGUUAUCUGAACCUUCGGGGGACGAUAACGGCGUCGAGCGGCGGACGGGCGAGUAAUACCUAGGAAAUUGCCCUGAUGUGGGGGAUAACCAUUGGAAACGAUGGCUAAUACCGCAUGAUGCCUACGGGCCAAAGAGGGGGACCUUCGGGCCUCUCGCGUCAGGAUAUGCCUAGGUGGGAUUAGCUAGUUGGUGAGGUAAGGGCUCACCAAGGCGACGAUCCCUAGCUGGUCUGAGAGGAUGAUCAGCCACACUGGAACUGAGACACGGUCCAGACUCCUACGGGAGGCAGCAGUGGGGAAUAUUGCACAAUGGGCGCAAGCCUGAUGCAGCCAUGCCGCGUGUGUGAAGAAGGCCUUCGGGUUGUAAAGCACUUUCAGUCGUGAGGAAGGCGGGUACGUUAAUAGCGUAUUCGUUUGACGUUAGCGACAGAAGAAGCACCGGCUAACUCCGUGCCAGCAGCCGCGGUAAUACGGAGGGUGCGAGCGUUAAUCGGAAUUACUGGGCGUAAAGCGCAUGCAGGUGGUUUGUUAAGUCAGAUGUGAAAGCCCGGGGCUCAACCUCGGAAUAGCAUUUGAAACUGGCAGACUAGAGUACUGUAGAGGGGGGUAGAAU
rnacentral:rRNA from 1 species